UUGGCUGUAGUGGCCCGACCUGCCCGCGGUGACCUCGUGUGGACCGUCGCCGGCCACGCAGGCUCCAGCGCAGGCGGGAGGAAGCGCGGUGUCCGCACGGAGCCGGAGGGGGCUCCUGCGGCCCGACCUUGUUUUCCAGGGCUCCCGUAGCGACCAUCGCCUCUUGGACGGUGGACACUGGUGUGCGGGGAUGUCCAGGGACAGGCUGAGGACGUGCGCGGAGGGCGGCUGCACCCUCCACCACGAGGCACCUCCGAUGAUUGUGUUGCUGUCCCAACUGUAAGGUUUUUGGAUAGGCUGGCGCCAGAGAAAGAAAGAUGAGCAGAGUUGAAAGGGAAAGCGCAGAAGAAGGAAGACAAGGUCCAACAGAGCAGCGUGGCCUGGUGGUGUGUGGAGGAGCGGCGAAGGCCCAGAAAGGGAGCUCUGGGCAUCUGAAGGGGAAGAAGUUGACUUCCUUUUUCCUCUGUAUUCUCUUUGGGGAAAAUCCUGUUAGCGCUCUUUUCCUCCUGGUUUCCACUUCUUGUCCUUUUGCAUUUUCUGGGAGAGUGCCUCGUCAUUAACAUUCAGA